ACUCAAAGACCCAGCUACUCUCUGACAGUCACCAUCAGACCAUCAGACCACCAGAUGGACAGGCUGUGUGUUUCUCUGAUUGCAUUCUUAUGUGCUGUUUCCUCCAGUCAGGAUGGGAUCUCUGCAGCAGAGGUGGAGCUGAGAGUCAGACCAGGAGACAACAUCACUCUCUACUGUGACUGUAACAUAACUUCUGGAAUAUACAUUAUGUGGUAUAGGAACUGUUCUCACAAGUACCAGCCUCCUCUUGUUAUUUUAACUACGUUUUUAAGUUACAUCUCUCUCCCUGGAUUUAAUGUGGUGUGGAACCCCUCUAACAUCUCCUAUGAUCUACUGAUUGAGAACAUCACUGAAUCUGACCUGGGACUCUACUACUGUGGGACUGUGGAGUACAAGUUUCAAGAAGGAAAACGAAUGAAAUAUAAAGAGUUGUUCCACUAUGGAAACAUCACCACAAGGAUUUCACUUGAAACCGGUCCUCCUGCCAGUCUAUUGCCAGAAACCAGUCCUCCUGACUGUCUAUUGCCAGAAAUCAGUCCUCCUGAGCCAUCCUCGUCCUCCCCUCCUCCUGUAGACUGUGGUCUGUGUUGGAUGUUGCUGUUCAGUCUGUGUCCUGUGUCUGCUCUCCUCUACUCUGCCUGCGUCUACUCCUUCUAUAGAACAACAGCUCCAACUGAGACUCAGGUUCCUCUGAACAGGACCACCACCAGGGGAAGUGACAGCAGAGAGCAGACUACAGUCAAAAGUGUGAGACCUAUACCAUCCAUCAAUACCAGCAGAGUGAGACCAAUACCAUCCAUCAAUACCAGC
rnacentral:lncRNA from 1 species